AAUUCAGGGGCACUGCCUUAGUAGCGGCGAGUGAAGCGGCAAAAGCUCAGAUUUGAAAUCUGCCUCACGGCCGAGUUGUAAUCUGUAGAUGGCUACUCUGUAACAAGUCUUUGCUCAAGUUUUCUGGAAAGGAACAUCAUGGAGGGUGAUAAUCCCGUGAGGCAUUGGCGUCGUUGCGUGUAGAGGGUCAUCAAAGAGUCGAGUUGUUUGGGAAUGCAGCUCAAAGCGGGUGGUAGACACCAUCUAAAGCUAAAUAUUGGCGAGAGACCGAUAGCGAACAAGUACUGUGAAGGAAAGAUGAAAAGCACUUUGAAAAGAGAGUGAAAAAGUACGUGAAAUUAUUGAUACAGAAGGAUAUGCCAUUGGACGUUAUGUUUGGGCAUGCUUGUGCUUCGGCGCAGGUUUAACCCUCUCAUUUUACCAGCAUCAGUUUCGGCAGGAGGACAAACAACGCGGAAUGUAGCUGCUUGCAGUGUUAUAGACGUGUUGCAUACUCUUUGCUGGGAUCUGAGGGCCCGCCAUUGCAGGAUGCUAGCGUAACGAUGGCAUAUCACCCGGCUUG
rnacentral:rRNA from 1 species